rnacentral:misc_RNA from 1 species
CCUGUUCGAGCGUCAUUAUGACCACUCAAGCCUAGCUUGGUAUUGGGGUUCGCGUGCUCGCGGCUCUUAAAGUCAGUGGCGGUGCCGUCUGGCUCUAAGCGUAGUAAUGCUCUCGCUAUUGGGUCCGGGCGGUUGCUUGCCAAAAUCCCCCACUUUCUUAGGUUGACCUCGGAUCAGGUAGGGAUACCCGCUGAACUUAA